GACAGAGGGUGCAAACGUGUUCGGAUUUACUGGGCGUAAAGCGCGUGUAGGCGGCCCGGUAAGUCCGCUGUGAAAGUCCAGGGCUCAACCCUGGGAUGCCGGUGGAUACUGUCGGGCUCGAGUCCGGAAGAGGAGAGUGGAAUUCCUGGUGUAGCGGUGAAAUGCGCAGAUAUCAGGAAGAACACCCGUGGCGAAGGCGGCUCUCUGGGACGGUACUGACGCUGAGACGCGAAAGCGUGGGGAGCGAACAG
rnacentral:rRNA from 1 species